rnacentral:tRNA from 1 species
GCGACACUAGCUCAGUUGGUAGAGCGCAACCUUGCCAAGGUUGAGGUCGAGAGUUCGAACCUCGUGUGUCGCUCCA